rnacentral:rRNA from 1 species
CCUACGGGAGGCAGCAGCAGGGAAUAUUGCGCAAUGAGCGAAAGCUUGACGCAGCGACACCGCGUGUGGGAUGACGGAUCUAGGUUUGUAAACCACUUUCAGGAGGGAAGAAAAUGACGGUACCUCCACAAGAAGCCCCGGCCAACUACGUGCCAGCAGCCGCGGUAAUACGUAGGGGGCGAGCGUUGUCCGGAUUUAUUGGGCGUAAAGAGCUCGUAGGCGGUUCAACAAGUCGGUCGUGAAAGUUCAGGGCUCAACCCUGAAAUGUCGAUCGAUACUGUUGUGACUAGGAUACGGUAGAGGUGAGUGGAAUUCCGAGUGUAGCGGUGAAAUGCGUAGAUAUUCGGAGGAACACCAAUUGCGAAGGCAGCUCACUGGGCCGCUAUCGACGCUGAGGAGCGAAAGCUAGGGGAGCAAACAGGAUUAGAUACCCUGGUAGUCCUAGCUGUAAACGUUGGAUACUAGACGUANGAACUGGAUUGACGGUUUCUGUGUCGCAGCUAACGCGUUAAGUAUCCCGCCUGGGGAGUACGGUCGCAAGACUAAAACUCAAAGGAAUUGACGG